GGUCAUUUAGAGGAAGUAAAAGUCGUAACAAGGUCUCCGUAGGUGAACCUGCGGAGGGAUCAUUACACAAAUAUGAAGGCGGGCUGGAACCUCUCGGGGUUACAGCCUUGCUGAAUUAUUCACCCUUGUCUUUUGCGUACUUCUUGUUUCCUUGGUGGGUUCGCCCACCACUAGGACAAACAUAAACCUUUUGUAAUUGCAAUCAGCGUCAGUAACAAAUUAAUAAUUACAACUUUCAACAACGGAUCUCUUGGUUCUGGCAUCGAUGAAGAACGCAGCGAAAUGCGAUAAGUAGUGUGAAUUGCAGAAUUCAGUGAAUCAUCGAAUCUUUGAACGCACAUUGCGCCCUUUGGUAUUCCAAAGGGCAUGCCUGUUCGAGCGUCAUUUGUACCCUCAAGCUUUGCUUGGUGUUGGGCGUCUUGUCUCUAGCUUUGCUGGAGACUCGCCUUAAAGUAAUUGGCAGCCGGCCUACUGGUUUCGGAGCGCAGCACAAGUCGCACUCUCUAUCAGCAAAGGUCUAGCAUCCAUUAAGCCUUUUUUUCAACUUUUGACCUCGGAUCAGGUAGGGAUACCCGCUGAACUUAAGCAUAUCAAUAAGCGGAGGAAA
rnacentral:rRNA from 2 species